GGAAUAUUGGACAAUGGGGGCAACCCUGAUCCAGCAAUGCCGCGUGUGUGAAGAAGGCCUGCGGGUUGUAAAGCACUUUCAGUUGGGAGGAAGAUUGUGAUGCUAAUAUCAUCAUGGUUUGACGCUACCAACAGAAGAAGCACCGGCUAACUCUGUGCCAGCAGCCGCGGUAAUACAGAGGGUGCAAGCGUUAAUCGGAAUUACUGGGCGUAAAGGGCGCGUAGGUGGAAGUUUAAGUCAGAGGUGAAAUCCCUGGGCUUAACCUAGGAAUUGCCUCUGAUACUGGACUUCUAGAGUACAGUAGAGGAAAGUGGAAUUUCCGGUGUAGCGGUGAAAUGCGUAGAUAUCGGAAGGAACAUCAGUGGCGAAGGCGACUUUCUGGACUGUGACUGACACUGAGGCGCGAAAGCGUGGGGAGCAAAC
rnacentral:rRNA from 1 species